rnacentral:rRNA from 1 species
AUGGACGACGACGCCGGCGACGCCUCGCCGCCGCCGGGACCUGUCCCCCCUGCUGCCACAGGCGCCUCGUCGUCGCGUGACAUGGCUGCGUCCCCUACCAGCUCGCGCUCCGUGACGGAGACGGUGAACGGCUCCCACCGCUUCGUGAUCCAGGGCUACUCCCUCGCCAAGGGGAUGGGCGUCGGGAAGCACAUCGCGAGCGAGACCUUCACCGUCGGGGGAUACCAGUGGGCUAUCUACUUCUACCCAGACGGGAAGAACCCCGAGGACAACUCGGCCUACGUUUCCGUCUUCAUCGCGCUCGCUUCCGAGGGCACUGACGUCCGCGCUCUCUUUGAGCUCACACUGCAGGACCAGAGCGGCAAGGGCAAGCACAAGGUCCACUCCCACUUCGAUCGCUCGCUCGAGUCUGGCCCCUACACCCUCAAGUACCGAGGCUCUAUGUGGGGUUACAAACGGUUCUUUCGGCGAACUGCCCUUGAGACAUCGGACUUUCUUAAAGAUGAUUGUUUGAGGAUAAACUGCACUGUGGGUGUUGUGGUUUCAACUAUUGAUUACUCCAGACCACACUCCAUUCAGGUUCCAGACUCUGAUAUUGGCUACCACUUCGGUUCUCUUUUGGACAGUAAUGAAGGGGUUGAUGUUAUUCUUAAUGUGAGUGGAGAGAGGUUUCAUGCCCAUAAGUUGGUGUUGGCUGCACGGUCUACUGUAUUUAGAUCCAAACUUUUUGGCGAUGAAUCAGAAGGAGACAAGAACGAGGUUAAUGAGAGUGAGGAUCUGAAAGAGAUUGUUAUUGAUGAUCUAGAGCCCAAGGUUUUCAAGGCCAUGCUUCAUUUCAUCUACAGAGAUACCCUCGUUGAUGAUUAUGAGUUGGAUGCAUCAAGCUCCAUGGGCUCUAUUUUUGAUACUUUGGCGGCAAAGUUGUUGGCCGCAGCAGACAAGUAUGACUUAGGAAGGUUAAGAUUUCUAUGUGAAUCUUACUUGUGCAAAGGCAUUUCUGUGGCCUCGGUUGCAAAUACUCUUGCAUUGGCUGAUAGUCACCACGCCAUGGAGCUUAAAGCCGUUUGCCUAAAAUUUGCUGCAGAAAAUCUUUCAGCUGUGAUCCGGACUGACGGGUUUGAUUACCUCAAGGAUAAUUGCCCAUCACUUCAGUCGGAGAUACUGAGAACUGUUGCUGGGUGCGAGGAGCCGUGCAGUAGUGGCGGGAAAAGCCAGAGUGUAUGGGGACAGCUCUCGGACGGUGGCGACACUAGUGGCCGUAGGGUGAGGCCAAGAAUCUGA